UGAUAGCGAUGAAGCGUGAGGUUGCUGCCGGAGCGAAAAGAUAAGCGAAAGCAGGUUUUCCGUGGAGCGAAUGUCAAGUUAGGAAACUGGCGACAA
rfam:Lachnoclostridium sp. An298 An298_contig_4, whole genome shotgun sequence.